rnacentral:misc_RNA from 1 species
GAUGAAGAACGUAGCGAAAUGCGAUAAGUAGUGUGAAUUGCAGAAUUCAGUGAAUCAACGAAUCUUUGAACGCACAUUGCGCCCUUUGGUAUUCCUUAGGGCAUGCCUGUUCGAGCGUCAUUUAAACCUUCAAGCUAAGCUUGGUGUUGGGUGACUGUCCGCUUCACGGCGGACUCGCCUCAAAAUUAUUGGCGGCCGGAACAUUGGCUUCGAGCGCAGCAGAAACGCGAACUCGGGCCCGUCGUAUUGGCUCCCAGAAGCUAUCUUCACAAUUUUGACCUCGGAUCAGGUAGGGAUACCCGCUGAACUUAAGCAUAUCAAUAAGCGGAGGA